rnacentral:rRNA from 1 species
CGAGCGCAACCCUUGUCCUUAGUUACCAGCACGGUUAUGGUGGGCACUCUAAGGAGACUGCCGGUGACAAACCGGAGGAAGGUGGGGAUGACGUCAAGUCAUCAUGGCCCUUACGGCCUGGGCUACACACGUGCUACAAUGGUCGGUACAAAGGGUUGCCAAGCCGCGAGGUGGAGCUAAUCCCAUAAAACCGAUCGUAGUCCGGAUCGCAGUCUGCAACUCGACUGCGUGAAGUCGGAAUCGCUAGUAAUCGUGAAUCAGAAUGUCACGGUGAAUACGUUCCCGGGCCUU